rnacentral:lncRNA from 1 species
GCCACCCUUCGGGGCCUGCAAGGACCCAGUUGGGGGGGCAGGAGGGGGCCGGAGGAUGGUUGGUUGUGGGAUUUCUACUUUGCCUUUUCCUCCUUAUGCCGCCUUAGUGAGGGGCGGGAGCUCUGGCGGCAGCCCCGGGGUGGGGAGACGAGCUCCGGAGUCGGAAGAGCUGGGUUUUCUUCCGGGCCUAGCCACCAGUUGGCGGAGUGACCUUAGGCGAGUCACUCUGUAAUUUGUCUGCGCCUCAGUUUCCUCCUCUGCCUAUCAAUGUGUGUGGGGUUGAAAUCGCUUUGUAAACUAUAAAGCGUGGGUGUACGUAAAGGAUGGUUAUUGUUUAUAAUUUUUUUUGAGUUGUAAGAAAACUUAGCAGUUCCCCAAUCCUUGGGUUUUGAACCUGGGAACCUUGGAUUGGAGUUGGGGAUCCCCAAACUUCCUGAAAUUGUGGGAAUGUGCGGUUUGGGGGAAUGAUGGGAAUUUGUGGGAAUGUGCGUUUUAGGGGAAUGAUGAUCCAUCGCUAGCAAGUUUUCCAAGGGGGCUGUGACCCAGAAGAGUUAAGAAUCACAAUUUCUUCAUGCUACAGAGAGGAAACUGAGGCCUAGAUGUCAUUUGGGACCCUUCACAACCAUUUUGAAGCCCUGUUUGAGUCCCUGGGAUAUGUGAGCUGUUUCUAUGCAUAAUGGAUAUUCGGGGUUAACAACAGUCCCCUGCUUGGCUUCUAUUCUGAAUCCUUUUCUUUCACCAUGGGGUGCCUGAAGGGUGGCUGAUGCAUAUGGUACAAUGGCACCCAGUGUAAAGCAGCUACAAUUAGGAGUGGAUGUGUUCUGUAGCAUCCUAUUUAAAUAAGCCUAUUUUAUCCUUUGGCCCGUCAACUCUGUUAUCUGCUGCUUGUACUGGUGCCUGUACUUUUCUGACUCUCAUUGACCAUAUUCCACGACCAUGGUUGUCAUCCAUUACUUGAUCCUACUUUACAUGUCUAGGCUGUGUGGUUGGUGGUGAAUAGGCUUCUUUUUACAUGGUGCUGCCAGCCCAGCUAAUUAAUGGUGCACGUGGACUUUUAGCAAGCGGGCUCACUGGAAGAGACUGAACCUGGCAUGGAAUUCCUGAAGAUGUUUGGGGUUUUUUUCUUUCUUAAUCGAAAGUUAACAUUGUCUGAAAAGUUUUGUUAGAACUACUGCGGAACCUCAAAAUCAGUAGAUUUGGAAGUGAUUCAAAGCUAAACUUUUUCCUUGGCCCUCCUUGUGUUCUAAUUGCUUGCAAGUGUAAUACUAGGAUGUCCAAGAUGCCAGUUUUUGCUUCUUUGUUAGUUGUCAGCUGCUUUUAUCAAAUUUCAGGCCAUUAUCCAACAAACACUAUAAAAAUGUUUGAACAAUUGGAUUUCAAACAUUUUCGUUUUGUGGAGUGGUGCUCACCAAGUGGUACAGCCCUAAGCAAGUGAACACAAACACAUUUAAGUGUAUUUUGUCUGAUUAGAUGUUAGCCAGUUAUGCUAUUUCAUUCAAAUGUCUGAAAAAAUCAAUUGACUAUUCCCUUUUCCUAAAGGGCAGAGACAGAUAAUCUCACUUCCAGAGAAAUGACUUGGAGAAAAAAAAGUGUUGGUCUUUUUGCUCUUUUGUAAUUAAAUCCGGAUGUACCUCAAAAGACUUAAGACUGUGGUGAUAAGAUGCUUUCCUCAGCAGAAAGGAGGGAAAAAAAACAACUGGAACUCAAAGCUUGAAAUUCUGUGGCAAAACAUGAGAUGUCCAGGAUUGGAGGUUGAAAAGAUUUCACUACAGUGUUCUGCAAUAGUUGGAGCAGAUAACUUUCAGUGUAGCCACAGCCAUGGACUCCAGAUUUCCAGAUUUUCAAGACCUGGACCUGGAACCCGAAAGAGCUUGUCACGAUGCGGCAGGAACACUGGAGGUAGAUUUUUUUUUAUUUUUGAAUUUUGGGACUGUUGACCUUGCUGUGAGAAAAGAGACAACGACUGAGCAAGCACUACCACCAGCACUGUUACUGGGAAUUAGAAGACCUGAGUUUCUGUCCAGACCCUCAGUGCAAACUGAGGAUGCUCCAUCCAAAGUGAAUUAUGAUAGCAGACUCCUUGAAAGCAGGGUCCUUGUUUAGUGCAUCUUUGCCCACAUACACCACAACAUAUCAAGAUGCAUUUAUUAGGAAGGAGGAGUUUAGAGAGCAGGCUAUCAGAAUAACCACUCAUCCUGUGCCUCCUGAUUGCUGAGUGUUCACCUGGACCUUCUGACUACCUUCCCUGUGCUAUUCCAUCAGCCUACAGACCUGGUACCUGGAUUUUUGCCCGAGAUGAUUCCUACCACCUUACUACUGACGAAGACACCCAUUCCAGUGGACCACUGUGACCCAGGAGGCAUUCAGCCAUCAUGAUGUGGCCUUUACCUCCACUCCUGUCUUGUUCUACCCAGAUUCAGCACAGCCCUUUAUAGUGAAGUCAGAGUCCUCAAGCCAAAUAGCUAAAGCUGUUUUAUCACAACAAAGGCCUAGUUUGUUCCAUGAGUGUGCAUUUCAUUUCUUCAGUUAAAGCCUUCAGAGACACACAAUAAAUUUGGACCAGGGGAUUUUUUAGUUAUUAAUGCUCUCUGAAGAAAGGCAACAUCUUUUUGAGAGCAGCAUUGGACCACACCCCACAAUCUCAAAUGAUUGAAAUUCAUGAACAUCUAGGAUCCCGUGAAGGUCACUGGACCCUGUUUUUUCUACUUCAAAUCCUGUAGUAGCCUACUGAAUGAGAAAACAUAUUCUGACCCAUUGGGAUCAAAUCAAAGGCACAGUGAACUCCUCAUAGCAUCUUCUUUGGAAUUACUCAGGAACCAGAACUUUUUACACAAAUGUAAGAAAUUCUACCAAGGAGUCCCCUUACCUAACAGCAUCUCACAAGGCUGCACCAGAUUCCAGAAAAGGCUUCUCUUGAUACAUCAAGGUAGAACCUCUAUGCAUUUUGUGACCGACUUAUUCUUAGAUCAUUGGUUUUCCAAAGGCUUUGUGGCCAUGAAGCCCUUUGAGUGAAAACUGUGCAGAAGCCCAGAGUAAAAGUGAAGCUGCUCUGGAUGAAGUAGUGAAGCAAGAGUAGGGGCCUGAAUCCUGCUACAACUAUCUUCCUUUACCACCGUGGUGACACCUAAGGGGACUUCCUUACAACACCUUGAACUCUUCCGAACACAGUUUGAAAACCACUGCCCCAGACAGCAAUAUGUUUGACCUGAAUGGCAUUCCAAUCUUUUCUGUACCUCCACUCAGCACAGUUCAUGUUCAGUAGAUGCUGAACAUUCUUAGAAAUACUGUGUGUGAACUUAGAAAAGUGCAAGAAGACAGGCAUGUCUUUGACCCCAGGAAUGAUCAUUUGCUGAAGAUGGUGUCAAGUGAACCUAGAUUAACAGCCCUCCACUCCAGAUGGAUAUCCAGUGAUUCCUAGAAUGGGAUAUAGCCAGAGAACAAUUCUAUGCACCCUACACUGACAGACUCCCUUAAGCAACACCAGAUGCUCUACUGGUACUUGAAGUACAUGACUUUGAAGUCUUGACCCUCCAUGAAUACCUGAAUUAUCAGCAAGCGGGUUUUGAAGCUGGUGCCUCAUUGAGGCCAUAUUAGAGCAACUUGUACAUUUGACCUCUUGUUAUCAGCCAUGGUACUCUACUUCGUGUGCAAGAGAUAACUAUGAAAGCCAAAUUCAAAUACUGGCAACAUUUCCUAAAGGGGCUCAAUAUCUAUCAUUCGUCUUCUUUUCCAAACUACACAUCACUGUAUGACUCAACCAGUAGCAGUUAUAUUGCCCCUUGGUUUUUAUUCAGUUUAACUACUGUUUCCAAGAUAAAUGAGCUAAUAAGCUUUAAAAAAAAAAAAAAAAAAGGCUGAAUUCUUUUUUCUUCAUCACUGGCAUAUCUGCCUAUUCUCCAGAAUUAUUAUGACUAUUCAGCUCACUUUAACAGUUGAACUUCAAGCGACAAUCUUUGAACACCCCUUCUCAUGUGAUUUAAAAUGAAACCAUUUGGAAAAGUUUCUUCUAGCCAGUAAUAGAUUUUUUUUUUAAUUGCUCUGCCUUGUGCCGAGAGAUGUUCUUUUAAGAUGAAUCUUUUGAUGUCUGAUACCACCAAAUAUAGGUGGUAGGGAGAGUUGGAGGCUGGCCCUUUGAGCAGGCCAUUAGCUUACUUGCUGGGCAUUUCCGAUAGCUUAUUGCCUACCUUUUUGCUGGAAACAAACUGAUUUGAAAAACAAAAUCUAUGAAGACUGCAGCUAAGGAUUUUAUCGGUAGACUUAAGAGCUUUUGUCCUUGUGGAUAUUUUAGUGGAACCACAUCAGUCUCAAUACUGUCAUUUUACACUGACUCAGAGCAGCUGACUUCAUUCCUUGCCAUGAUAUAUAUUUAAGGCAGGCAUUGUAACAGACAUAAAGACAACUUAUCUGUUUCAGCAGGAAGGAUUCAGUUUAUGAACUCUCAGACCAGAUCAUGUUGAACAAGGAGACUUUGAUGUGUGUCAUGAGAAAACUCAUUCUUUACUUCCCAGUCAAUUUAAAGGCCAGCUAUCCUGAGCUACUCGAAUGAAUGCACUGGUUAAACAUUGGAAAUAGUUUGUUUAUAUCCUUGUCUCUCUCUAGGCCAAUUGUGAUUACAUGACUCGACUCUACAUCUCGUCAAACAAGGCCUAGGUCUGGUUGCUGUAGACUGCUCGCCCUCAACAAAUAAAAUCUGGUUGACUAGCCUCCUUGUAUAUACAACUAUUAUUUGUUAAGAAGAAAUUAUCGUCAAUUUUCUACUACCUUCCAAUUGUCAGCUCUUUUUUUCCUCUCUGGUUUUUCCUAUACUUUACAGAAAAAGACAUUGAUCUAUACUGCCAUUCCCUCUAAUCCUGCCAUACUCAGUCAAAAGGAAUGACUUAAGAUGAAGAUGAUCAUCUGCUCGAGUCUAAAAUAUACAUUGUAUAUAAGAAUUGGUGAUUAGAAAAGCAAAAAACCUAAAACUUAAAUCUAGGAGUCUGUAUACUGUCUCCAUGUCUCCAUGCCUCAGAUCUCAUCUAAAUCUUUGAACAGCACCAUUCAACCAAUCUGAGGCCUUGACUUGCUUGUAAGAUGAUUCUCAGAGAUCGGCUGAGUUAAAAAAGAUGACGACUUGAUUACCAAAGAAAGUAGGGCCAACUUUGACAAAUCUGGCUCUGCUGACCCUGUCACUCCCAGAUGUAGCAUAGACUCCUAAACAGAACCUCAAGUCUGAUUGAGGAUAAGGCCUUCUCCUGAGCUGAAAGUUCUUUGGCAGAUGAGCAAGAAACUGAAAGCUGAUGUACCUGACUGGCUCUGUAAGAUCAGAAAACUGUAUCCAGAAUAAGCCCUAUGGAUUAACCCCUGAGUACCCAGAGUAAAAACUAAUUUACAGAACUUCCUUAUUGAUCUGCUGGUUCUUCCAGAUCAUAUUCUGGCUAUUGGUAUGGCUGGCCUUUCUGAAGGUACCCUGCUUGUCUAUUUUCCUGACUCAGCUCUUGCCUGCCUUUUUCACAUGUUGCUGCAAUUAGACUCACCGUGAGGACUACAGUCAAUUUCAGUCUAUCUUGUGCCCAAUACAACAAGGAUUUUUAAUAGUAACAACCCACACCUCACCCACUAGGACUCAAUGUUCACAACAGGAAGGACCAUUGCUGCAUACUCCUUGACCAGCAACUUUUUUGAAGAUAUUUUUAAGUGCAGAGUAGGCCUCUAUUCCUGUAUGUAAUUGUUCAUUUUCAGCACCUGGAACCUCAUCUAUCGGGUCUGGAAGGAAUACAGCAGUUCGAAAGCCGCGUCCAUUUCUCUCCUUCAGUAGUGCAGAAAUGAGUCCGAUUCACCAGUACACACAGAACUGUACCAGUUCAACCUAGCAAAAGAAGAAAAGUUUCCACUGUACUUAAAAUUUACAGCUGACUCAAAUUGCCUCACAGAAUUAUUUGAUGUAGAAGGCUAGUUGUCUUACUUCAGAUCAGCAGGACAGUUGGGCUCUCAGACUCAUGACCACUGAGUUUGCUUGUGUUGAAACUGUGGUUUCAUCCAACAUAUGCUAUUGGACAUGAUUAUUAUUCCAUUCAAAUGGAUUACAGACUUCUUGAGGACAGGACAAACUUAUCUCUCAUGGUGUUUUUUUAGAAUACUUUUAUAACCAAGGAAGAAACCAUGCCAGCUGUUACCAUUCAACUUCUUAAGCAGAGAUUAAGCUUUUUCAUAUCUGUUCUUAUCCUGGACAUCAGUAGUUUUUAAUUGCCCAGCAUCCGUUCCAUCUUGUAACAACUCCCUGAUGUUUCUUAAAACCACCUCUUCCUAUUUUCAGUCUGUGGUUUGGACAGUCUGACCCAACCUUGAGCUUUGUGGGUGAACAUGUAAUUCAGACCUCAUCAAUCAGCAAAUCCAUCUGAACUGUGGAGGAGAAGCUCUCUUUACUGAGGGUGCUUUAGCUUUGUAGGAUGAAAACCUCAAACUAACAGGGCCUACCAUGUAGAGAAUGAAGCCAGUGCAGGGGAAAGCAGAGCCAAAAUAUGGAGAGACUUGAAUCCUGAUGACAGCGUUUGUGCCCCUGGAUCCAACCGUGCCUGAAGCUAGAAUAUCCCCUGGACUUUUCAGUUAUGUGAACCAAUAAAUACCCUUUUUUGCUUAAGUUACUUUGAGUUGGGUUUCUGUUACUUGAAAUUGAAUCCACACUAAUAUAUCUACCAACAUUGAGACUUGACAGAUCCAAGUAUUUAUUAAGCUAGAGGUCAUGGUCACUGAAAUUACUUUCCAAAGUGGAAGACAAAAUGAAACAGGAACUGAGGGAAUAUUUAAGAUCCCACAGAAGCGUAAAAAUGACAUGGUAGAAAGUAAUAGAAAACCUAAAUGUCUGUCAUUAAAGGAUAGGUUAAGGUGUGGUUCAGCCAUAUAGGAAUAUCUCGUAUCUGUUAAAAUGAAUAAAGUACAUUCAUUGUGUAUGGAAAAAUGGCCAUGAUACAUUAGGUGAAACAAGUUAUUAAUAGAAAAGUGUACAGUGUGAACUCAUUUUAAAAUGUGUGUGCUUAUGUUUAUAAAUGCAUAGAAAGGUCUAUUCACAGCUUUCUUUGAACAGUGUAGAUCACAUGAAACUUUCAACUUUAUACAUUUCUGUAUUAAUAUUUUACACUACCCACAUUAUUUUUAAACUUUAUUUUAAAUAAAGAAUUUUUAAAAUUAAAU